rnacentral:lncRNA from 1 species
CUAUAUGGACCUCAGGUAUUAGAAAGGCUGCUUGAAGCUUUGUGCCAAAGACCAUUGAAGCUUUCUGCAACACAAUGAACCCGUGCUUUCAGAGGGCCCAGUUUCACACUGUGUGACUGUACUACACCAGGAGCUAAGGACCACCAAACUCAUCAUAUACUGCUGCAAGUGUGAGGUCCUGGUCCCGCUCUUUUCGCCAGUCUGGAGCAACGUUUGGAGGAGCCCAGCAGCCUGGUCCUUUCCGUAGCUUCCAAGGAUUUUUAGGAUCGCAGGAUUUACAGACCCGCGAAAACCCCUGGAGGACGUUAGCUGUGGAUAAAAGCCUCUGGAAAUGCCUACCGUCUUCCUUACCUCUUGUUUCUUCUUGGGUGACCUGCACGUCGUUUGGGAAGGGAGCCUCUCCGUUCUUGGAGGAUUACGUCUAACCAGCCACUUGCCACCCUCACUGGAAUACAUCUGCUAAGUUUUCCCAGGAUGGAGAAAUUACUACAUGUGGCAGAAGGCUAUUUUUCCCUUCUCCCGGAACUCUCCCAGAGCGCAGCGGUGCUCUCGUCCAGCAGGUGACACCUGCUCGUAUUGUCGAGUCCCAGGAGUCCUCCGUAAGCUUAGUCUUUGUAAGUCUAGAAAUGAGUGAACCUCAAACCAUGCAGAGGUCUCGGUUGACUGCAGAAAGGAGAGAGGAAGAGCGUCUGGAAGGGAGCUCAGAUCCCGCCAGGGUUUCCCAGGAAAUGAGGUUGACCUCACUGGAGCAGUUUGGAUGGACUCUAGCUGAGGAUUUGGACACGAGUUGCAACAUGCAGCGCCUCUGAUUGCUUG